rnacentral:rRNA from 1 species
UACGUAGGGUGCAAGUGUUAUCCGGAAUUAUUGGGCGUAAAGAGCUCGUAGGCGGUUUGUCGCGUCUGCUGUGAAAUCUGGGGGCUCAACCCCCAGCCUGCAGUGGGUACGGGCAGACUAGAGUGCGGUAGGGGAGAUUGGAAUUCCUGGUGUAGCGGUGGAAUGCGCAGAUAUCAGGAGGAACACCGAUGGCGAAGGCAGAUCUCUGGGCCGUAACUGACGCUGAGGAGCGAAAGCAUGGGGAGCGAACAGG